CUGAGACACGGCCCAGACUCCUACUGGAGGCAGCAGUGGGGAAUAUUUGACAAUGGGCGCAAGCCUCNUCCAGCCAUGCCGCGUGGGUGAUGAAGGCCCUAGGGUUGUAAAGCCCUUUCGGCGGGGAAGAUAAUGACGGUACCCGCAGAAGAAGCCCCGGCUAACUUCGUGCCAGCAGCCGCGGUAAUACGAAGGGGGCUAGCGUUGCUCGGAAUCACUGGGCGUAAAGCGCACGUAGGCGGAUCGUUAAGUCGGGGGUGAACCUCCUGGAGCUCAACUCCAGAACUGCCUUCGAUACUGGCGAUCUUGGAGUCCGGGAGAGGUGAGUGGAACUCCGAGUGUAGAGGUGAAAUUCGUAGAUAUUCGGAAGAACACCAGUGGCGAAGGCGGCUCACUGGCCCGGUACUGACGCUGAGGUGCGAAA
rnacentral:rRNA from 1 species